AACGAACGCUGGCGGCAGGCUUAACACAUGCAAGUCGAACGCCCCGCAAGGGGAGUGGCAGACGGGUGAGUAACGCGUGGGAAUCUACCCAGUUCUACGGAACAACUGAGGGAAACUUCAGCUAAUACCGUAUACGCCCUACGGGGGAAAGAUUUAUCGGAAUUGGAUGAGCCCGCGUAAGAUUAGCCAGUUGGUGGGGUAAAGGCCUACCAAGGCGACGAUCUUUAGCUGGUCUGAGAGGAUGAUCAGCCACACUGGGACUGAGACACGGCCCAGACUCCUACGGGAGGCAGCAGUGGGGAAUAUUGGACAAUGGGCGCAAGCCUGAUCCAGCCAUGCCGCGUGAGUGAUGAAGGCCUUAGGGUUGUAAAGCUCUUUCAGUGGGGACGAUAAUGACGGUACCCACAGAAGAAGCCCCGGCUAACUUCGUGCCAGCCGCCGCGGUAAGAC
rnacentral:rRNA from 1 species